rnacentral:rRNA from 1 species
AUGGCGCCGGUAGUUGCGCUGCUCGAUUUUGGCUUCUUCGAAAGAGGAUUCCUAGUGGUUGGGAGAUGCGUUGAGGUUGGCCUGCCAAUGUUAAUCCUCUUUGUUGUGCUUUCCCAGAAUGUACAGAUAAGAGAGAUCCCCAUACUGGAACGAUUCUCCCUGUUCAUUUGUAUCGCAUUGGUCUGGGCUUAUGCUCAAAUCCUCACUUCUGGUGGCGCGUAUAAUCAUUUUGUACUACCAUUAGUUGUCGAUGCUGUGUAA